CUGAGCGGUUGGAAGGGGAACACUGCAGAGACAGGGUCGCCCAGUCUGGUGUGCAGUGGUGCAAUGAUGGCUAACUUCAGCCUUGACCUCCAGGUCUCAAGUGAUCUUCCUACCCCCUGACUUCAAGGGAUCCUCCAGCUUCCCAAAGCAUUCGGUUUACUGACAUGAGCCAUGGCGCCAUACUCGGAUUUUUAAAAAUUUCGCUUGUUUGAGAUUCACUGUGAUUACUGAAUAAGUAAAUCAAUAUCUUUCAUCAAUUUUUGAAAAACUCUCACCCCUUAUCACUGCAAAUAUUGCAUCACCCCUAUUUUUUCUUUCAUUGUAUUCUGUAACUAAGAUUGAAUAUUUGUUAGUCACUUUAUUCUACGUGUCUUUCAACAUUUAUUUCAUGUUUUUCUUCUCUUUUAUUUUUGUGCUCCAUUCUGGAUACUGUCAUAUAGAUCAUCUUCUAAUUAACAAAUUCUUUUUUCAUCUGUGUUAAUUCUGUUGUGUGUGUGUGUGUGUGUGUGUGUGUGUUUCCUUUUUUUAUUUUUUUUUUUUAAGAGAAGGUCUCACUCUGUAACCCAGACUGAAGUGCAGUAGUGUGAUCAUGACUCACUGUAACUUCAAACUCCUGGGCUUGAGUGAUCCUCCCAUUUCUGCCUCCCGAGUAGCUGAGACUACAGGUGUGUACCACCUCACCUGGAUAAUUUUCUAAUUUUUUGUAGAGACGGUGUCUUGUUUUGUUUCCUAGGCUUGUGUUUUUAAUUUCAAUUAUUUUAAUUUUUGUGUUAAGAAAUACUAUUUGAUUUUUUAAAUCUGCUAC
rnacentral:lncRNA from 10 species